rnacentral:tRNA from 1 species
GUUAUUUUGGCAGAUUAGUGCUAUAGAUUUAGAAUCUUUAUAUGUAAAUUUUUACAAAUAAUA